rnacentral:lncRNA from 1 species
CCGGUUUAUGUAAAACUGUGCGGGGUAAAAGUUAGGGCAGGGGCGAAGAGUUUUGAACCACCACCACUGCUGUAAUCUCUCUCUCGAUCUCCUUCUCUCUUCGGCGACCAGGUAUCUCUCUCUCUCUCUUCCUCUUUGAUAUCAACUGUUAUUUUAUUUUUUUUUAAAUUCAAAACUUUGUGUGAUGAACAAUGAUGUUUUAGGAUUUGAAAACUCUCCAAAGCUGUAAUUGAGUUUUAGAAUUGAUGAAGUAGUUAUAAUCUUAGUAAGGAACAUAUUAAUCUUAGAAGCUAUUUAAUAAAUUUCAUGCUUUCUUAAUUUUUAAGUAAUUGAUUGAUGAUUUUUGUUUUUUUUUAUAUUGCAAGUCUGUUCUUAAGUGAUUUUUGAUAGAAUUGAUUGAUAAUUUGAUUUCUAAUUGAUUUAUAAUUUGUAAGUUUGUUCCAGUUUUUGAUUUGUUCUUAAGUCUCUUUCAUAUUGGUAUGUAGUAAAGGUGUUUGAUAGAAUUCCUGAAAGAGACCAAGUUUCUUGGAAUUCCAUGAUUGCCACAUAUUUGCGAUAAGGGCUUUUUAUUUAUCAAAAUUUAGUAUUCAAUCUCUUUCGUCAAUCUCUCUUUCUUUAAACUCUCUCUUUCGUCAAUCUCUUUUGAGCAGGAAACCUUAAUCAAUUUUAAUUCAAUCAGAUAUAAACCAAAAUUGGCUAUUUAAUCUCUCCCUUUCUUUAAACUCUCUUUCUUUAUCACCGUUAAUAGAAGAUUUAUAAGAUUUUUUUACUCAUCAAUCGAAUAAAUCAG